rnacentral:rRNA from 1 species
GAUCCUGGCUCAGGACGAACGCUGGCGGCGUGCUUAACACAUGCAAGUCGAGCGGUAAGGCCCUUCGGGGUACACGAGCGGCGAACGGGUGAGUAACACGUGGGUGAUCUGCCCUGCACUUCGGGAUAAGCCUGGGAAACUGGGUCUAAUACCGGAUAUGACCUCUUGCCGCAUGGUGGGGGGUGGAAAGGUUUACUGGUGCAGGAUGGGCCCGCGGGCUAUCAGCUUGUUGGUGGGGUAAUGGCCUACCAAGGCGACGACGGCCUAGCCGACCUUGAGAGGGUGACCGGCCACACUGGGACUGAGACACGGCCCAGACUCCUACGGGGAGGCAGCAGUGGGGAAUAUUGCACAAUGGGCGAAAGCCUGAUGCAGCGACGCCGCGUGAGGGAUGACGGCCUUCGGCUUGUAAACCUCUUUCAGCAGGGACCAAGCGCAAGUGACGGUACCUGCAGAAGAAGUACCGGCCAACUACGUGCCAGCAGCCGCGGUAAUACGUAGGGUGCGGAAGCGUUGUCCGGAAUUACUUGGGCGUAAAGAGCUCGUAGGCGGUUUGUCGCGUCGUCUGUGAAAACUCGUAGCUCAACUACGGGCGUGCAGGCGAUUACGGGCAGACUAGAGUACUGCAGGGGAGGACUGGAAUUCCUGGUGUAGCGGUGAAAUGCGCAGAUAUCAGGAGGAACACCGGUGGCGAAGGCGGGUCUCUGGGCAGUAACCUGACGCUGAGGAGCGAAAGCGUGGGUAGCGAACAGGAUUAGAUACCCUGGUAGUCCACGCCGGUAAACGGUGGGCGCUAGAUGUGGGUUUCCUUCCACGGGAUCGUGCCGUAGCUAACGCAUUAAGCGCCCCGCCUGGGGAGUACGGCCACAAGGCUAAAACUCAAAGGAAUUGACGGGGGCCCGCACAAGCGGCGGAGCAUUGUGGAUUAAUUCGAUGCAACGCGAAGAACCUUACCUGGGUUUGACAUAUACCGGAAAGCUGCAGAGAUGUGGCCCCCCUUGUGGUCGGUUAUACAGGUGGUGCAUGGCUGUCGUCAGCUCGUGUCGUGAGAUGAUUGGGUUAAGUCCCGCAACGAGCGCAACCCUUGGUCUUAUGUUGCCAGCACGUAAUGGUGGGGAACUCGUAAGAGACUGCCGGGGUCAACUCGGAGGAAGCCGUGGGGACGACGUCAAGUCAUCAUGCCCCUUAUGUCCAGGGCUUCACACAUGCUACAAUGGCCGGCCUACAGAGGGCUGCGAUACCGUGAGGUGGAGCGAAUCCCUUAAAGCCGGUCUCAGUUCGGAUCGGGGUCUGCAACUCGACCCCGUGAAGUUCGGAGUCGCUAGUAAUCGCAGAUCAGCAACGCCUGCGGUGAAUACGUUCCCGGGCCUUGUACACCCCGUCACGUCAUGAAAGUCGGUAACACCGGCGAAGCCGGUGGCCUAACCCCUAUGUGGGAGGGAGCCGUCGAAGGUGGCCGAUCGGCGAGGUUGGGACGAAGUCGUAACUAGU